UACGAAGGGGGCGAGCGUUGUCCGAAGUUACUGGGCGUAAAGCGCGCGUAGGCGGCUAAUUAGGUCUGAGGUGAGAGGUUCAGCGCUCAACGUGAACAGUGCCUUGGAUACUGGUUGGCUUGAGUGUGGCAGAGGAGCAUGGAAUUCCUGGUGCAGCGGUGAAAUGCGUAGAGAUCAGGAGGAAUACCGAUGGCGAAGGCAGUGCUCUGGGCUAACACUGACGCUGAGGUGCGAAAGCGUGGGGAGCGAACGGG
rnacentral:rRNA from 1 species